rnacentral:rRNA from 1 species
AUUGAACGCUGGCGGAAUGCUUUACACAUGCAAGUCGAACGGCGGCACGGACCUCGGUCUGGUGGCGAGUGGCGAACGGGUGAGUAAUGUAUCGGAACGUGCCCAGUCGUGGGGGAUAACGUAGUGAAAAUUACGCUAAUACCGCAUACGAUCUAUGGAUGAAAGCGGGGGGUCGCAAGACCUCGCGCGAUUGGAGCGGCCGAUAUCAGAUUAGGUAGUUGGUGGGAAAAGGCCAACAAAGCCAACGAUCUGGAACUGGUCUAAGAGAACGACCGGCCACACGGGAACGAGGCACCGGUCCAAAUUCUUACGGGAGGCACCAUUGGGGAUUUUUGAACAAUGGGGGAAAGCCUAAUCCGGCCAUUCCGCGUGCAGGAUGAAGGCCUCGGGUUGUAAACUGCUUUUGUACAGAACGAAAAGGUUUCAACUAAUACUAGGAGCUCAUGACGGUACUGUAAGAAUAAGCACCGGCUAACUACGUGCCAGCCGCCGCGGUAA